CGGGCCCGCCGCGCCCGCCGGCCCCGCUCGCUCCUCAGCAAACUUUUUUUUUUCCCCUUUCUCCGUGUUUCGUUGCCCUCGGAGUGACGCGGGCGGGCGCUGAUUGGCGGAGCCCAGGAAGGGAGGCCGCGGGGAGCGGGAGGCGGCGCUUCGGCCCGCGAGUAAUUAUUACACGGCGACGGCGGCGACGUGAACCACCGAAUGCUAUUUAAAGGGACAGCGGCCCGCCCGCAGGGGUGACCUGAGGCGAACGCGGCGGCGGGAGGGCGAGUGGGCAGCGCCUGCUGGGGCGGUGGCGUCCGCCCUCCUGGCCCACAAAUAAAUUCAUUUUGCUGUAAAAUACCCGCGGAUGCACCUGCUGUCGCCCCCGCUGCCCUUCAGAGAAGGGGAAGGUCUCUCCUAGCGGGGUUUCCUGCGGGGCUUAGGGCGCUGUGUGGGCUCAGUCCCUCACAGCUCCCCCUCCUUCUGGGCCCUGUGGGAAGGCAGCGGUGGGCUUGGAGUAUCUGCUCGUGUGGAAAUUCAAAAGAAACUCCAAUUAGGCAGGGGAUCCCAGUCCAAGCUGAAACACCCAGGAGAGAGGUGAAAGGUUUCCCAGCUGUGCCAGUGAUUUGAUGAUGUAUGGCAAAAUGGUACUUUGACCCUGUUCUAAGCCUUAUCCUAACAGGAUGAACUGGAGUUUCAACUACCCAGGCCUACUGGAAAUUUGGCCCAGCAGUUAUUUGGCAGUGGCCUUCAUGAGCAGCAAUGCCAGCUUUCCAUGCAAUGCCCACAUUCAGAGAUUUGCAGAAUUAGAGUCCAAAUUCUGCAAGUCCAGAAUGCCACUGACUUCAAGGGGGUUGUAAGAUUUUAGCCAAGAGCAAAAAUUGGCCCAGGAUUUUUUCAGACUCCCUCAUGCUUCUGUUUAUAUGAUAUUACCAUCAAGCUCUAUUAGCAUGCUCCAUGAUGCAUUUUGCUUUUAAAUUACAUAAAGGAUAUUUACUGUGCUGAUGCUACAUAGUUUGGAAGAAAGAAGCACAUAUGGAAAUGAAAAAACAUCAAUUACCAUCAGGAUUUCCAGCUUUCAGCAUUCAUUUUCCAAAACAACCCAGAGACUAUUUCUCAUUUAAAAAAAAAAAAAAAAAUGAAGCAGAAAUGAAAAUCCAAUUUCUUGGCAUUUAUGUACGGCAUUCUGGACCCUUGCUCAUCAAGUCUGUUGUGAAAAUGAUUGGAAUAAAAAA